CACGUAGGGCGCAAGCGUUGUCCGGAAUUAUUGGGCGUAAAGAGCUCGUAGGUGGUCUGCUACGUCCGCUGUGAAAACCUAGGGCUUAACCCUGGGCUUGCAGUAGAUACGGGCAGACUAGAGGUAGGUAGGGGAGAAUGGAAUUCCCGGUGUAGCGGUGAAAUGCGCAGAUAUCGGGAGGAACACCGGUGGCGAAGGCGGUUCUCUGGGCCUUACCUGACGCUGAGGAGCGAAAGCGUGGGGAGCAAACAGG
rnacentral:rRNA from 1 species